UACGGAGGGUGCAAGCGUUGUCCGGAUUUAUUGGGUUUAAAGGGUGCGUAGGCGGCCUGUUAAGUCAAUGCUGAAAGCCUGUGGCUUAACCACAGGACUGGCAAUGAUACUGGCAGGCUUGAGUACAGACGAGGUAGGCGGAAUUGAUAAUGUAGCGGUGAAAUGCAUAGAUAUUAUCAGGAACUCCGAUUGCGAAGGCAGCUUACUAGGCUGUAACUGACGCUGAGGCACGAAAGUGUGGGGAG
rnacentral:rRNA from 1 species